rnacentral:sRNA from 1 species
GUUUUUUGAAUACUUUGCGACGAGUUGCUAUUGACCUCGCAAAUCCCUAGCAAUUUGCGAGGGACUUACGUGAAAGACGCAAAUCCCUCGCAAAUAAGUUGAAAACCCUAAUAAGUCGUUUCCUCGCAAGUCCGUAGCAAAGUUUGCGAGGGACUUGCGAGGCUUUUUAAAUAUAUAUAUACACUGCAACCGUGUUUGAGCUGCGCUCAAACCUAGCCGCACACACCGAAACCCUAAAAUUUUCUUCUUCUCUGUUCUUCUUCUCCGGAUCUUCUUCUCCGUUCUUCUUCUCCUUUGUUCUUCUCCGUUCUUCUUCUCCAUUCUUCUUCUCCGUCGUGCCACAUCCUCUGCGAGGAGAUCCAGAUAGCCGCCGCUGACCAGGAAACCCUAAUUUCGGAGGUUUGAAAUCGAGUCUCUUCCGUCUCUGUUCUUCUUCUCCGGCGACAACUCGGUCUUCUUUGCCGCCUCUCCUCUCACAUCGAUCUGCAAGGUAAAGAAAUGUUUCUAUUUGAAACCUUAUC